GCUAACUUAUAUGAAAACCGUUAAAAUAAUAUAUUUUUGGGGAUUUCAUGAACACAUUUGGUAUCCUCAAAACAAACAAUAGUUUACAUUCUGAAAUUGUGUAUCUCCAGUGUAUAAAUUAAAGCGCAUUGGAACUGUGUUUUUUUUUGUGUUAAAACAACCAGCCAACAAUGUGACAUAUGUUUUUUACGAUGAAUUAUUAUGCCUUGGAACGAUUUAGUGUUUGACUAUGUAAAAUAAAAUUCUUUUUACAGAACGAUUUUCCAUUGGAAACGUACGUGAUGGCUGUACAGUGCAGCUGUUAAAAAAUGUAUAAAAUGCCUGUUUACACGUGUUAGAAUAUUAUGCGCAGAUGUUGUUACUCGUUUUGGAACACACAACACAACAAAAUUCGAAACCUAAGACGGAUUAUACCGGAUACAUAAACGUUGCGGAGAAGACGUCAUACGUCACACACCGGACGCGGACAAGACGUAAAAGAAGGAAAAAAAAAUUGAAAAAACUAGUUUCAGGAGGACAAUGCGCG